rnacentral:rRNA from 1 species
UACGAAGGGGGCUAGCGUUGUUCGGAAUCACUGGACGUAAAGGGCGCGUAGGCGGCUUUAUAAGUCGGGGGUGAAAGCCUGUGGCUCAACCACAGAAUUGCCUUCGAUACUGGAAAGCUCGAGUCCGGGAGAGGUGAGUGGAACUGCGAGUGUAGAGGUGAAAUUCGUAGAUAUUCGCAAGAACACCAGUGGCGAAGGCGGCUCACUGGCCCGGUACUGACGCUGAGGUGCGAAAGCGUGGGGAGCAAACAGG